AACGAACGCUGGCGGCAUGCCUAACACAUGCAAGUCGAACGAGACCUUCGGGUUUAGUGGCGCACGGGUGCGUAACGCGUGGGAACCUGCCCUUAGGUUCGGAAUAACUCCCCGAAAGGGGUGCUAAUGCCGGAUAAUGUCUCCGGACCAAAGAUUUAUCGCCUUUGGAUGGGCCCGCGUUGGAUUAGCUAGUUGGUAGGGUAAAAGCCUACCAAGGCGACGAUCCAUAGCUGGUCUGAGAGGAUGAUCAGCCACACUGGGACUGAGACACGGCCCAGACUCCGACGGGAGGCAGCAGUGGGGAAUAUUGGACAAUGGGCGAAAGCCUGAUCGAGCAAUGCCGCGUGAGUGAUGAAGGCCUUAGGGUUGUAAAGCUCUUUUACCCGGGAUGAUAAUGACAGUACCGGGAGAAUAAGCUCCGGCUAACUCCGUG
rnacentral:rRNA from 1 species